AUACGAAAGGUGCAAGCGUUGUUCGGAUUUACUGGGCGUAAAGAGAGUGUAGGUGGUUUAUUAAGUCGGAUGUGAAAUCCCGGGGCUCAACCUCGGAACUGCAUUCGAUACUGAUAGGCUAGAGUUUGGGAGGGGUAAGCGGAAUUCCGUGUGUAGCAGUGAAAUGCGUAGAUAUACGGAGGAACACCUGAGGCGAAGGCGGCUUACUGGACCAAUACUGACACUGAGACUCGAAAGCGUGGGUAGCAAGCAGGAUUAGAAACCCCAGUAGUCC
rnacentral:rRNA from 1 species